AUUGAACGCUGGCGGCAGGCCUAACACAUGCAAGUCGAGCGGACGGUGUAUGCUUGCUCCUGGUUUCAGCGGCGCACGGGUGUGCAAUGCCCAGGAUUCUGCCUGGUUGAGGUGGAUAACGUCCGGAAACGGGCGCUAAUACCGCUUACUACUAGCGCGUGAUAGUGAUGAUUCCUCGGAACUCACGCUAUCAGAUCUGUCUCGGUCGGAUUAGCUAGUAGGUGGGGUAAAGGCCUACCAAGGCGACGAUCCGUAACUGGUCUGAGAGGAUGAUCAGUCACACUGGAACUGAGACACGGUCCAGACUCCUACGGGAGGCAGCAGUGGGGAAUAUUGGACAAUGGGCGAAAGUCUGAUCCAGCCAUGCCGCGUGUGUGAAGAAGGUCUUCGGAUUGUAAAGCUCUUUAAGUUGGGAGGAAGGGCAGUAAGAGAAUACCGUGCUGUUUGGACGUGACCAACAGAAUAAGCACCGGCUAACUUCGGU
rnacentral:rRNA from 1 species